rnacentral:rRNA from 1 species
GAUGAACGCUGGCGGCGUGCUUAACACAUGCAAGUCGAACGGAAAGGCUCCUGCCUGCAGGGGUACUCGAGUGGCGAACGGGUGAGUAACACGUGGGUGAUCUGCCCUGUACUUCGGGAUAAGCUUGGGAAACUGGGUCUAAUACCGGAUAUGACAAUCUCUUGGAUGGGGUUGUGGAAAGCUUUUGCGGUAUGGGAUGAGCUCGCGGCCUAUCAGCUUGUUGGUGGGGUAAUGGCCUACCAAGGCGUCGACUGGUAGCCGGCCUGAGAGGGUGUACGGCCACAUUGGGACUGAGAUACGGCCCAGACUCCUACGGGAGGCAGCAGUGGGGAAUAUUGCACAAUGGGCGCAAGCCUGAUGCAGCGACGCCGCGUGGGGGAUGACGGCCUUCGGGUUGUAAACUCCUUUCGCAACCGACGAAGCUUUUGUGACGGUAGGUUGAGAAGAAGCACCGGCUAACUACGUG